rnacentral:rRNA from 1 species
UACGUAGGGUGCAAGCGUUGUCCGGAAUUAUUGGGCGUAAAGAGCUCGUAGGCGGUUUGUCGCGUCUGCCGUGAAAGUCCGGGGCUCAACUCCGGAUCUGCGGUGGGUACGGGCAGACUAGAGUGAUGUAGGGGAGACUGGAAUUCCUGGGUGUAGCGGUGAAAUGCGCAGAUAUCAGGAGGAACACCGAUGGCGAAGGCAGGUCUCUGGGCAUUAACUGACGCUGAGGAGCGAAAGCAUGGGGAGCGAACGGAUAGAUACCCUGAGUCA